UUAGAUCUGUAUCACAUGGUCUAUUAAUAUCAUUCUGGGGCAUUAGAGGGGCGUGUCCUUACAGGUGUUUACCUGGUGUUGUCUCGACAACUGGCACAAGGUAAUUUGAGAUAAUACAAAGUUUAGAUUCUUUGAGGUAGAGACCCAGAAGGGAGGGAGGGUGACCUCACAUACUUACUAUGGCACCAGUCUAGGAUGUGUGUAGACUACAUGUGAUGGUUCACCUGAUAGAGUCUAGGAGGUGUGUAGUCUACAUGUGAUGGUUCACCUGAUAGAGGAUGUGUAUAGACUACAUGUGAUGGUUCACCUGAUAGAGGAUGUGUGUAGACUACAUGUGUUGGUUCACCUGAUAGAGUCUAGGAUGUGUGUAGACUACAUGUGAUGGUUCACCUGAUAGAGAGAAGGACUGGAGCACACAGCUAUAGGAAUAUUAGGUGAGUGUUUAGUUGACUUGCUGCAUGGCUUUACACACACACAUACACACAUACACACACACACACCUGAAACACCACACCACAGUCCUCAUUCAGUAAUAGUGUUUUCCAUAACGUCCUCAGGGUGGAGUGAUAACAUUACUAGUUGUGAGAGUCUCCUUUUCCCCGGCUGAGCUGAGAUGGACGUGUGUCUGAGUAAGUUCUGAACUUUCCUUGACUUCCUUAUUUCCUCAUAUUAAACAAUACUAAAGAUUGAGAAAUCACUAAAUAUCCUGUUGUAGUGCCUUGCUCAGGCCAAACUCCACCGUGGAGAAUGUUACAUACAGAACAAAACUCCAAUAACUACAUUUCCUUCCUCACCAGCCAGUCCCACUGGGGGAGAACCCAGAGGAGUAUCAGCAAAGGAUCAUGGGAGCUAGAGUCCAGAGACAAGUGCUGACUUCCUACAAAGAGGAGCUGGUCAGAGCUGGACAGAGUACUCCUGUGUUUCAGAGACCUACAGUGGGCCCCUUCAUAGGUCAAAAACACUCAACUGAACUAUUCUGAUGCAUGUAGAUGGAAGGACUUUGGUGAUGGAUCAUGUAUCUUGAUGCAAUUAUCAAACUUUAAUUAUGAAUCAUUUGGAAGUGAAUAAAAGCCCAAUAAAGAGAUAAGAAACAGAG
rnacentral:lncRNA from 1 species